AGAGCAACUGGUUCAUAUGAGAGAGUCUGUAAUCUAGGUUUUAAAAAGGGUUUCAUUUCUUAUUUGGAAAGUGGCAAUGCCAGCAGUUAACUCUUAUGCAAAAAUGGAUCAAGAGGAUACUAUAAAAUAUGGUAAUGCGGAGUAUUUCAAAGCUUCAUAUCUUAUGUGAUGAUGAAAGUGCGGAAGGGAAACAAGCGGUCAAGUGACUUCAGCGGCCCACCUCUGCCCAUCUUGCAAAAGCUCAUUUACCUACAGUUUUCAAAGUUUUGAGAUCAGUAACUGGGAUGAUACAGCUAAAUUGGUAGUAGGUAAGGUGGGAUUUGGAAGUUGGCCAUCUUGGGCAUCCUUGAAAGAGGCUGUAGAGCGAGACACUGUGCAGUUAGCUGCUCCAUUAGUAUGCUUCUUCUUAUCUGAUCUCAUGGAAGUCAUGCCAUUGACAAUGUCUGGGAUUCCAUAUCUUGCCAUCCUCAUCUGUUUCACUGUUUAGGCAUCCAGCUUUCAGGUGGCUUUGAACAUCAUCACCAUGUAGGUAGGUAUACCUUGAACAUCAUCACCAUGUAGUUUCCUUUUUCUGGAUCCAAAUAAGAUGGCAGGAUACAUGAUGGCUUUUGGUUCUGAGCUGUCUCAAGCCCUAGCAGAUGACCAAUAUCUUGUACAGCAACUGUUUCUAUGUCCAUCAAGUCUUUCCAUGGAUUAGUACUCCAACUCUCUUCUGCAUUGAAAUGAAGCCUUCCAUCUGUUGGUGAAAAAGAAUGAGCAAGUAGUCCACCAGGACCAUCAAAGCUGGAACAUCACCAUGAUCAGCGCAUUAAAAUCUACUUAAAAUAUCUGCCUCAUCAAUGGCUUCGGAAAAUUUAAAACGGCUCACCUCUUUCCAUCCUGCAAAAGCUCGUUUACUGACAGUUCUCAAAGUUUUGAGAUCAGUAACUGGGAGGGUAGAGCUGAAUUGAUAGGCAGAACGAGACUAUGUCCGGGAGUCCACAUCCUCAUCUGUUUCACUGUUUGAGCAUCCAGCUUUCCAGUAGCUCUGAGAUGGUAAUUGAGUUGCGUGAAAAUGAAUUUUUUGUUUGAGAAUAAAUAACACAUGGUGAAUAUUUGAGAGUAAAUUUCAGGUGACAAUGACU